GGGUAAACAUUUUUUUUUCAUUUAAACAAUAUUUCCUUUACAAGAGCUUAAAUCCGAGAUAAAUUGAAAUGACUUGCAGAAAAUGAUAAUCUGGACAGUAAUCACCUAGUUAAGGGAUGGUAUUCCUUCCUUCAUCGAUUUCAAUGACAAGGAGAUGCUCUGGAUCUGACUCAUUGGGUCCCUCUUUGAGUAGAGUGAAGGGAGAUAAGCCUUGUAUGCUGGCAGAUAAAAACAAAGUCCAUAACCUGAAACAACACCCAUAUGAAACCUUGAAACUCGAUGUUUGGAAUCUACUGUGGAUGUUUGAAGCAUUAAAAUACCAAAUUCAAUAACAAUUAAAUAGUUAGCCCCACCUCCUCAUCAGACAUCACAGGGGCUUCCCAUCCACCCUCAUGGCGAUCUCUGCCUGCAAAUCUACACAACUAGUUACAUAUGCUUGAAAGG
rnacentral:lncRNA from 1 species